CCUACGGGUGGCAGCAGUGAGGAAUAUUGGUCAAUGGUCGCGAGCCUGAACCAGCCAAGUCGCGUGAGGGAAGAAGGUCCUAUGUAUUGUAAACCUCUUUUGUCGGGGAGCAAAGGACGCCACGCGUGGCGUUCUGAGAGUACCUGAAGAAAAAGCAUCGGCUAACUCCGUGCCAGCAGCCGCGGUAAUACGGAGGAUGCGAGCGUUAUCCGGAUUUAUUGGGUUUAAAGGGUGCGCAGGCGGUAGGUAAAGUCAGCGGUAAAAUAGCGGGGCUCAACCUCGUCGAGCCGUUGAAACUGGAAUUCUUGAGUGAGCGAGAAGUAUGCGGAAUGCGUGGUGUAGCGGUGAAAUGCAUAGAGAUCGCGCAGAACUCCGAUUGCGAAGGCAGCAUGCCGGCGCUAAACUGACGCUCAUGCACGAAAGUGUGGGUAUCGAACAGGAUUAGAUACCCGAGUAGUC
rnacentral:rRNA from 1 species